AAAAUUAUACUUUCAGGUAUCCUUUCUAUAGUUCAUUGAUAGGGAUGUUUCUCUGUAGAAAUUUUUCACAUGGAGGACCCCAAACUGUGAGGAGGAGUGAGAGCAUCCUCUUGUGAUCAUGAUGCUGGCUCCAGGUGCUGCCUCUGCCUUUUGCUACUGAUGUUGUUCAGAUCUUUCCUUGGAAGAGGGAGAGGGAGAGGAUGCAAUUUUGGUAGU